UACAGAGGGUGCAAGCGUUGCUCGGAAUUAUUGGGCGUAAAGGGUAGGUAGGUGGUCUCAUUUGUGUGGGGUGAAAGCCUUGGGCUUAACUCAAGAAGUGCCCCGCAAACGGUGAGACUGGAGUACUGGAGAGGCUAGCGGAAUUCCCGGUGUAGCGGUGAAAUGCGCAGAUAUCAGGAGGAACACCGAUGGCGAAGGCAGGUCUCUGGGCCACUACUGACGCUGAGAAGCGAAAGCAUGGGGAGCGAACAGG
rnacentral:rRNA from 1 species